rnacentral:rRNA from 1 species
UACGGGGGGGGCAAGCGUUGUUCGGAAUUACUGGGCGUAAAGGGCUCGUAGGUGGCCAACUAAGUCAGACGUGAAAUCCCUCAGCUUAACUGGGGAACUGCGUCUGAUACUGGAUGGCUUGAGACUGGGAGAGGGAUGCGGAAUUCCAGGUGUAGCGGUGAAAUGCGUAGAUAUCUGGAGGAACACCGGUGGCGAAGGCGGCAUCCUGGACCAACACUGACACUGAGGAGCGAAAGCCAGGGGAGCAAACGGG